rnacentral:lncRNA from 1 species
GUGUUGAUGAACGCCUUGUCCAGAAACGGCACACGGACUUCCAGGCCCCACGCGGAGGUCGCCUUGUUCGCCCUCAAGCAGUCGUACUGGUGGAGCGCCUUAAUCUGCAGAGAAGCCGUCGACCAUCGUCAUCUCUGUUCCAAAGAAUUCAGAGCAGGAACAGGGGGGGGGGGGGGGGGCCUAGAGUUGAUGAUACCUUGCGGCAGGUCUCACGGUGGAACUCCUCCUUGUUCGGGGCCUUGUGGAAGUAGAGGUACCCUCCGAAGAUCUCGUCCGAGCCUUCGCCGGAGAUGACCAUCUUCACGCCCAGCGACUUGAUCUUCCGGGACAUCAAGAACAUGGGGGUGCUGGCUCUGAUCGAUGUCACAUCGUAGGUCUCGAUGUGGUAGAUGACGUCCUCAAUGGCGUCGAUCCCGUCCUGCACAGUGAAGUGGAACUCGUGGUGGACUGUGCCGAGG